rnacentral:lncRNA from 1 species
AUGCAUCUGGGAACAAAUGCAUCCCAACCUCCUUUAGACUUUUCACAAUUAGUCCUACCAGCUGCUCUCAGAACUGCAUACCGUCUAGCAGCCAUGUUCAGAGCGCAGUGUAGUGGCUGUCAACUGGCCAAGCCUGCACAUGCUUUGGAGCUCAUCUCUGGUUUCCCAGGGAACCUCUCCUGGGUCCUCUCACAACGUUCCAAGACACCCAGGAGACAUUUCAUUACUGCCACUGUUCAUGGCUUAGUACAUCCCGAAGUAAUCAGCACAUCAAAGCUAAUUGUAACUGUGACAUACCUUUCCCUAAAGAAAUUAUUGCACAAUACAACCAGAACUCAAACUGGAUGUGUCACUGCUGAGAGCAUACCUGACUGCAUUUGCAAUUUCUACUAACCAAGUGUCCCACGCUUCUUCAGGCAUCGCCAGCGGUGAGACCAGGCUUUCUUCUGAGAAGUCAAGAACAGUGUUAGCUGGGAUGAGACAAAGUAAACGUUCCCUGAAGUCUGUGUGCAAUACGCACAGGAGAAGAUGAUUUCUGCUCAUGAUAAAUUGAAGAUGUAGACAUUAAGCAGCUUGUAGUUGCUUAAUUUCAUUUAACAUUGACACGUUGAUUUCAUGCCGUUCUGCUUUCUAAGACACUGUCAUGUGAUACCAAGUGAAACACUUUCUAUUUCUUCCAGCAAAAUUCAUCAUGUCAUCAAAAGCAUCCACUUAGUUUGAGAAAGUACAUUUAUUUAUAGUGGUGUGGGUUGCCAUCGUUUUUAGUGACCUCUGUCAGGUCCCUGAGCACCGUGCCAGCUGCUGCACUAUUUGGCCUGUAUCUUGUUGCACUUUAUUAGUCUGAAUCUCAGCCCUGUCCUGCACCAGAGCCCCAGAGCAGACAUGUAGACAUGUGGCUGUCACAGCAGCUUAUAUGGAGAUUACCAGGAAGAUUUUCAUACUUGGAGUUUCCUCAUUUUAUUCCAGUCCUAAUCCAAAAGUAAAUAACAAAUUUUGAAGUGCCCUCUGGAAUUAAAAAUCAAUUUUAGAAGCCUAUUUUGAUUUAAUUGAAAGGUUUCAAUAAAACAGCAGAUCUGUGAUGUUUUAAUAAGCUC